rnacentral:rRNA from 1 species
GUUAAGUUGCAGGGUAUAGACCCGAAACCCGGUGAUCUAGCCAUGGGCAGGUUGAAGGUUGGGUAACACUAACUGGAGGACCGAACCGACUAAUGUUGAAAAAUUAGCGGAUGACCUGUGGCUGGGGGUGAAAGGCCAAUCAAACCGGGAGAUAGCUGGUUCUCCCCGAAAGCUAUUUAGGUAGCGCCUCGUGAAUUCAUCUCCGGGGGUAGAGCACUGUUUCGGCUAGGGGGCCAUCCCGGCUUACCAACCCGAUGCAAACUGCGAAUACCGGAGAAUGUUAUCACGGGAGACACACGGCGGGUGCUAACGUCCGUCGUGAAGAGGGAAACAACCCAGACCGCCAGCUAAGGUCCCAAAGUCAUGGUUAAGUGGGAAACGAUGUGGGAAGGCCCAGACAGCCAGGAUGUUGGCUUAGAAGCAGCCAUCAUUUAAAGAAAGCGUAAUAGCUCACUGGUCGAGUCGGCCUGCGCGGAAGAUGUAACGGGGCUAAACCAUGCACCGAAGCUGCGGCAGCGAACGUAUCACUUAAAGCGAUUCAGCGGGUUACGAUUGACGGAGCGAAGCGACGUCAAAGCGUAUACAAAGUCGAGUCGGUUUAAGGAUACGUUCGUUGGGUAGGGGAGCGUUCUGUAAGCCUGCGAAGGUGGCCUGUGAGGGUUGCUGGAGGUAUCAGAAGUGCGAAUGCUGACAUAAGUAACGAUAAAGCGGGUGAAAAGCCCGCUCGCCGGAAGACCAAGGGUUCCUGUCCAACGUUAAUCGGGGCAGGGUGAGUCGACCCCUAAGGCGAGGCCGAAAGGCGUAGUCGAUGGGAAACGGGUUAAUAUUCCCGUACUUGGUGUUACUGCGAAGGGGGGACGGAGAAGGCUAUGUUGGCCGGGCGACGGUUGUCCCGGUUUAAGCGUGUAGGCUGGUUUUCCAGGCAAAUCCGGAAAAUCAAGGCUGAGGCGUGACGACGAGGCACUACGGUGCUGAAGCAACAAAUGCCCUGCUUCCAGGAAAAGCCUCUAAGCAUCAGGUAACACGAAAUCGUACCCCAAACCGACACAGGUGGUCAGGUAGAGAAUACCAAGGCGCUUGAGAGAACUCGGGUGAAGGAACUAGGCAAAAUGGUGCCGUAACUUCGGGAGAAGGCACGCUGACACGUAGGUGAAGUGAUUUACUCAUGGAGCUGAAGUCAGUCGAAGAUACCAGCUGGCUGCAACUGUUUAUUAAAAACACAGCACUGUGCAAACACGAAAGUGGACGUAUACGGUGUGACGCCUGCCCGGUGCCGGAAGGUUAAUUGAUGGGGUCAGCGCAAGCGAAGCUCCUGAUCGAAGCCCCGGUAAACGGCGGCCGUAACUAUAACGGUCCUAAGGUAGCGAAAUUCCUUGUCGGGUAAGUUCCGACCUGCACGAAUGGCGUAAUGAUGGCCAGGCUGUCUCCACCCGAGACUCAGUGAAAUUGAACUCGCUGUGAAGAUGCAGUGUACCCGCGGCAAGACGGAAAGACCCCGUGAACCUUUACUAUAGCUUGACACUGAACAUUGAGCCUUGAUGUGUAGGAUAGGUGGGAGGCUUUGAAGCGUGGACGCCAGUCUGC